rnacentral:rRNA from 1 species
AACGAACGCUGGCGGCAUGCCUAACACAUGCAAGUCGAACGGGAUCCUAGCUUGCUAGGUGAGAGUGGCGGACGGGUGAGUAACACGUGGGAAUCUGCCUUUUGGUUCGGGAUAACCGCGGGAAACUGCGGCUAAUACCGAAUGCCCUCGAGAGAGGAAAGAUUUAUCGCCAGAAGAGGAGCCCGCGUCCGAUUAGGUAGUUGGUGGGGUAAAGGCCUACCAAGCCGACGAUCGGUAGCUGGUCUGAGAGGAUGAUCAGCCACACUGGGACUGAGAUACGGCCCAGACUCCUACGGGAGGCAGCAGUGGGGAAUAUUGGACAAUGGGGGCAACCCUGAUCCAGCAAUGCCGCGUGAGUGAUGAAGGCCUUAGGGUUGUAAAGCUCUUUUGCCAGGGAAGAUGAUGACUGUACCUGGAGAAUAAGCCCCGGCUAACUACGUGCCAGCAGCCGCGGUAAU